rnacentral:rRNA from 1 species
UACGAAGGGGGCUAGCGUUGCUCGGAAUCACUGGGCGUAAAGCGCACGCAGGCGGCCUAGUGCGUGGGGUGUGAAAUCUGGCCGCUUAACGGCCAGGCGCCAUCCCAUACGGCUAAGCUGGAGGGCUGCAGAGGUCGAUGGAAUUGCCGGUGUAGUGGUGAAAUGCGUAGAGAUCGGCAGGAACACCCAGGGGGAAACCAGUCGACUGG